rnacentral:rRNA from 1 species
GAUGAACGCUGGCGGCGUGCCUAAUACAUGCAAGUCGAGAGAACGGACGAGAAGCUUGCUUCUCUGAUGUUAGCGGCGGACGGGUGAGUAACACGUGGAUAACUUACCUAUAAGACUGGGAUAACUUCGGGAAACCGGAGCUAAUACCGGAUAAUAUUUUGAACCGCAUGGUUCAAAAGUGAAAGACGGUCUUGCUGUCACUUAUAGAUGGAUCCGCGCUGCAUUAGCUAGUUGGUAAGGUAACGGCUUACCAAGGCAACGAUGCAUAGCCGACCUGAGAGGGUGAUCGGCCACACUGGAACUGAGACACGGUCCAGACUCCUACGGGAGGCAGCAGUAGGGAAUCUUCCGCAAUGGGCGAAAGCCUGACGGAGCAACGCCGCGUGAGUGAUGAAGGUCUUCGGAUCGUAAAACUCUGUUAUUAGGGAAGAACAUAUGUGUAAGUAACUGUGCACAUCUUGACGGUACCUAAUCAGAAAGCCACGGCUAACUACGUG